rnacentral:tRNA from 1 species
UUAUUGGUAGGUUAAUUAAACUGACAAAUUGUGGUUUUGUUGAUUACACUUGGUUGUGCCAGUAAU